CUACAUUUUUGAAACUAGGAACCCGGCAUGGAGAAGGGGGUUGAGAAAGAUUGAUGGAGAGGCAGCCAGCAGUGCUUUUCAACACAAGCUAACAUUUAUCGAGUACUUUACCUACUUAAAUCUCUCAACACCAAUGAAAUAGAUGCUAUCUUCAAAAUGUCACUGAAAGCAGAGUUCAGAAGACACGCACACAACUGAUUCUCAUCUCCUGGCUUGAGCUGGACCCUUUGCACCACCGGAUACAUGUACAGACAUUGUGCAGAGCAACAAAAGGCCAUACACAA